rnacentral:rRNA from 1 species
GAUGAACGCUGGCGGCGUGCCUAAUACAUGCAAGUCGAGCGAACAGACGAGGAGCUUGCUCCUCUGACGUUAGCGGCGGACGGGUGAGUAACACGUGGAUAACCUACCUAUAAGACUGGGAUAACUUCGGGAAACCGGAGCUAAUACCGGAUAAUAUAUUGAACCACAUGGUUCAAUAGUGAAAGACGGUUUUGCUGUCACUUAUAGAUGGAUCCGCGCCGCAUUAGCUAGUUGGUAAGGUAACGGCUUACCAAGGCAACGAUGCGUAGCCGACCUGAGAGGGUGAUCGGCCACACUGGAACUGAGACACGGUCCAGACUCCUACGGGAGGCAGCAGUAGGGAAUCUUCCGCAAUGGGCGAAAGCCUGACGGAGCAACGCCGCGUGAGUGAUGAAGGUCUUCGGAUCGUAAAACUCUGUUAUUAGGGAAGAACAAAUGUGUAAGUAACUAUGCGCGUCUUGACGGUACCUAAUCAGAAAGCCACGGCUAACUACGUG